GGAGAUGCCAGGGCUUGCGGAGCGGCUGGACAGAGCCGAUCGGAUCAAAACUGCAGAUUCAUAUUCGUCUGCUGGGGAAGCGCCAAAGGAGACGCCGAGGAUUCAAGCCCCAGUGGAUGGAGGUUCUGGGGAACAAACUGUACCAGGGAUGGUGUGUGUGUCACACACACACUGUCAACUUGAUAUCCAGUCGCUAGACAGACACAUGCGUCUUCCCCCGACGGGAACUGCCCCAGGCCAACACCCCCCCCCCUCCAGGAAGCCCCCCAGGGUUGCUGCUCUGGAUUGGGGGGGGGAUUGGUGCCCCUGGGAAAAGAGCUGGAGGAAGGGCAUCGCCCGAUAUUAUGCCGGGGAGAAUCGUCUGUUAACAUCUGGACUCAGGGCACGUAGACAAAACAACAACAACCACCCAGCAGCGCCUAACAGCCCCUCCAGGUCACUCUCCUUCCUACCAGCCGCCGCCGGCUUAGAGGGAAACAGACCAGGCCAGAAGCGACCCCGGACACAGCCCGAGCCCACCAGCACGGGCGCCGAUUGCAGAGCAAAAUCCGGAUCUACAGACUCGGUCCCCAGCGCAACAGGCCGAAGCGGCCCUUGGAAAUUCAGGCGAGUUAACUUCUCCCGGGGUCGCUCCGUUUUCGAAGUGGGCGAGGGGUGAUGCUAACAUGAAGCGACAGGUGAACAUUAGAUGACACAUCUGUCAGGUCAAAGGGAUUUUAGUUUUGGUCCAAGAUUUUUGGAAGCAUCAUUAGAAGAAAACAGUGUUUCUUCCCUUUCAUCGCGGGAGCAGAGAGCCGCUCUGAGAUUUUCUCCCCCUGCCCUCAUCAAAAUGUGGCAUUAAAAAAGAAAACUUUUGUGUCGGCGUGGAACAAAUCUGCGUCCUUAUCACAUUUUUUGAAAGCCCCCUUUUGGGGAGUGUUGAUUUCUCAGCAACUAGCAGAGCCAAGCCAAAAGGCCAAAGAAGCAGAUUUGCUCGGAGA